UACAGAGGGCGCGAGCGUUGUCCGGAAUCACUGGGCGUAAAGGGCGCGUAGGUGGCACUAUAAGGCCGUGGUGAAAGUCUGGGGCUCAACCCCAGAUCUGCCGCGGCGACUGUAGAGCUUGGGCACCGUAGAGGCAGAUGGAAUUCCGGGUGUAGCGGUGGAAUGCGUAGAGAUCCGGAAGAACACCGGUGGCGAAGGCGGCAUCCUGGACCGGCAUUGACGCUGAAGCGCGAAAGCCAGGGGAGCAAACGGG
rnacentral:rRNA from 1 species